UACGUAGGGUGCGAGCGUUAAUCGGAAUUACUGGGCGUAAAGCGUGCGCAGGCGGCGCCGCAAGUCAGGCGUGAAAUCCCCGAGCUUAACUUGGGAAUGGCGCUUGAAACUACGGUGCUGGAGUGUGGCAGAGGGAGGUGGAAUUCCACGUGUAGCGGUGAAAUGCGUAGAGAUGUGGAGGAACACCGAUGGCGAAGGCGGGUCUCUGGGCCGUAACUGACGCUGAGGAGCGAAAAGCGUGGGGGAGCGAACAGG
rnacentral:rRNA from 1 species